rnacentral:rRNA from 1 species
GAUGAACGCUGGCGGUAUGCCUAACACAUGCAAGUCGUACGAGAGUUUUUAACUCUAGUGGCGGACGGGUGAGUAACACGUGAGAAUUUGCCUUUAGGAGGGGACAACAAUUGGAAACGAAUGCUAAUACCCCAUAUGCUUUCGAGUGAAAUGGAUUUUAUCCGCCUAGAGAGAAGCUCGCGGCUGAUUAGCUUGUUGGUAAGGUAAGAGCUUACCAAGGCGACGAUCAGUAUCUGGUUUGAGAGGACGAUCAGACACACUGGAACUGAGACACGGUCCAGACUCCUACGGGAGGCAGCAGUGGGGAAUUUUCCGCAAUGGGCGAAAGCCUGACGGAGCAAUUACCGCGUGAGGGAAGAAUGCCUAUGGGUUGUAAACCUCUUUUUUCAGGGAGGAAAUCAAAUGACGUGUACCUGAAGAAUAAGCAUCGGCUAACUCCGUG